GGCGAACUGCGCUUCCCGACAGGUGUAACAGCAUCCCCGGGGCCUUAUUGAUCUCUAAGGGAGCUGUCCCUGUGAAGGCUUGUGGGCUUUCGCAUAUGGCGCCCACCUACUUUGUAGGUUCCCGGGAUCAAUCACUACCAUCGGUCGUCGUGGUCGCCGC
rnacentral:other from 1 species